GCCAUGCAUGUCUAAGUGCAAGCCGUCCUGUACGGUGAAACCGCGAAAGGCUCAUUAAAUCAGUUAUGGUUCCUUAGAUCGUACCCAAAGUUACAUGGAUAACUGUGGUAAUUCUAGAGCUAAUACAUGCCCACAGAGCUCCGACCAGCGUUACCGGUCCGACGGCGGCUCGCCCGUCGUCGCCGGUCGUUCGGAAGGAGCGCUUUUAUUAGAUCAAAACCGGCCAAGCGCGUCGAUCGCGCUUCUAGCGCGUUCGCGCGUAAGUGGCCCGCGCAAAGACUUGACGACUCUGAAUAACUUCGAGCUGAUCGCACGGUCUUCGUACCGGCGACGUAUCUUUCAAAUGUCUGCCUUAUCAACUGUCGACGGUAGGUUCUACGCCUACCGUGGUGGUAACGGGUAACGGGGAAUCAGGGUUCGAUUCCGGAGAGGGAGCCUGAGAAACGGCUACCACAUCCAAGGAAGGCAGCAGGCGCGAAAAUUAUCCACUCCGAGAGCCGGGAGAUAGUGACGAAAAAUAACGAUACGGGACUCAUCCGAGGCCCCGUAAUCGGAAUGAGUACACUUUAAAACCUUGGUCACACGAGGAUCAAUUGGAGGGCAAGUCUGGUGCCAG
rnacentral:rRNA from 1 species